rnacentral:rRNA from 1 species
UACGGGGGUGGCGAGCGUUGUUCGGAAUCACUGGGCGUAAAGCGCGUGUAGGCGGCCCAGUAAGUCCGCUCUGAAAGCCCGGGGCUUAACCCCGGGAGGCGGGUGGAUACUGCUGGGCUCGAGUCCGGAAGAGGCAAGUGGAAUUCCCGGUGUAGCGGUGAAAUGCGCAGAUAUCGGGAGGAACACCAAUGGCGAAGGCGGCACUCUGGGCCGGAACUGACGCUGAGGAGCGAAAGCGUGGGGAGCGAACAGG